ACCUACCGAUCAUGCUGACUUCAGCUACCCGAGCUUGGCGAACUAGCCUCCCGGAGAACAUCGUUGACGGCUGGGCUGAGUUGAAGGCUCAGUU
rnacentral:snoRNA from 1 species